CUGGGCCAUAACCUGACGCUGGAGAAGCGAAAGCAUGGGGAGCGGAACAGGGAUUAGAUACCCUUGGUAGUCCAUGCCGUAAACGUUGGGCGGCUAGGUGUGGGACUCAUUCCACGAGUUCCGUGCCGCAGCUAACGCAUUCAGUCGCCCCGCCUGGUGGAGUACGGCCGCAAGGCUAAAACUCAAAGGAAUUGACGGGGGCCCGCACAAGCGGCGGAGCAUGCGGAUUAAUUGAGC
rnacentral:rRNA from 1 species